rnacentral:rRNA from 1 species
UACGGAGGGGGCUAGCGUUGUUCGGAAUUACUGGGCGUAAAGCGCACGUAGGCGGAUUGGAAAGUUGGGGGUGAAAUCCCGGGGCUCAACCCCGGAACUGCCUUCAAGACUCCCAGUCUGGAGUCCGAGAGAGGCGAGUGGAAUUCCGAGUGUAGAGGUGAAAUUCGUAGAUAUUCGGAGGAACACCAGUGGCGAAGGCGGCUCGCUGGCUCGGUACUGACGCUGAGGUGCGAAAGCGUGGGGAGCAAACAGG